GAGAUCGGGGAUAACACCUGGAAACAGAUGCUAAUACCGGAUAACAACAGAUGAUGCCUAUCAACUGUUUAAAAGAUGGUUCUGCUAUCACUCUUGGGAUCGGACCUGCGGUGCAUUAGCUAGUUGGUAAGGGUAACGGCCUACCAAGGCGAUGAUGCAUAGCCGAGUUGAGAGACUGAUCGGCCACAUUGGGACUGAGACACGGCCCAAAACUCCUACGGGAGGCAGCAGUAGGGAAAUCUUCCACAAUGGACGCAAGUCUGAUGGAGCAACGCCGCGUGAGUGAAGUAAGGGUUUCGGCUCGUAAAGCUCUGUUGUUGGUGAAGAAGGACAGGGGUAGUAACUGACCUUUGUUUGACGGUAAUCAAUUAGAAAGUCACGGCUAACUACGUGCCAGCAGCCGCGGGUAAU
rnacentral:rRNA from 1 species